rnacentral:rRNA from 1 species
AAUACGAAGGGACCUAGCGUAGUUCGGAAUUACUGGGCUUAAAGAGUUCGUAGGUGGUUGAAAAAGUUGGUGGUGAAAUCCCAGAGCUUAACUCUGGAACUGCCAUCAAAACUUUUCAGCUAGAGUAUGAUAGAGGAAAGCAGAAUUUCUAGUGUAGAGGUGAAAUUCGUAGAUAUUAGAAAGAAUACCAAUUGCGAAGGCAGCUUUCUGGAUCAUUACUGACACUGAGGAACGAAAGCAUGGGUAGCGAAGAGGAUUAGAUACCCUCGUAGUCCAUGCCGUAAACGAUGUGUGUUAGACGUUGGAAAUUUAUUUUCAGUGUCGCAGCGAAAGCGAUAAACACACCGCCUGGGGAGUACGACCGCAAGGUUAAAACUCAAAUGAAUUGACGGGGACCCGCACAAGUAGUGGAGCAUGUGGUUUAAUUCGAAGAUACGCGCAAACCUUACCAACACUUGACAUGUUCGUCGCGACUUUAAGAGAUUAAAGUUUUCGGUUCGGCCGGACGAAACACAGGUGCUGCAUGGCUGUCGUCAGCUCGUGUCGUGAGAUGUUGGGUUAAGUCCCGCAACGAGCGCAACCCUCACUUUUAGUUGCCAUCAUUAAGUUGGGCACUCUGAAAGAACUGCCAGUGAUAAGCUGGAGGAAGGUGGGGAUGACGUCAAGUCCUCAUGGCCCUUACGUGUUGGGCUACACACGUGCUACAAUGGUAUCUACAACAGGAAGCAAGACUGCGAAGUUAAGCAAAUCCUUAAAAGAUACCUCAGUUCGGAUUGCACUCUGCAACUCGAGUGCAUGAAGCUGGAAUUACUAGUAAUCGUGGAUCAGCGUGCCACGGUGAAUGCGUUCCCGGGUCUUGUACACACCGCCCGUCACACCAUGGGAGUUGGUUCUACCUUAAGGCAAGGUUUCAAACCCUUGACCCACGGUAUAGUCAGC